AAAAAAUCAAAGAAAGAAAGAGGGGAAAAGAAAAGAGAAAAAGGGAGAAAAAAAUUUAUUAUUAAUCAAACCCUAGCCGCCGCACGCCGCCGUCGCCGCCACCGCGAACCCGAGCCGCCAAGCCUUCCCCUCCCUGUUCAGCAGCGCAGCCGAGUCUGCAGUCAAAACCGAGCCGUCGCCGAGCUUCUAGCCGCGUCGGAAGAAUCGUCUAAGCCGAUCCGCGCACGCCGAGCGUCCGUCGGAGCAGCCGUCUCUCGCAGCCGUCGCCGAAGCCGAGCCGCGUCACCCUUCGCGAUCCGCAACUGAUCCGUCAGCCAGCCGCGUCGCGCCGCUUCGAUCCGACGCAGCGCAGCCGAGCGUCCGUCUGCAGCCGUCGCCGAGCGAAGCCGAGGUGUAGCCGGACCACCCGCAGCCGUCGCGCCACCCGGAUCCGAAAACCAGCGCCUCGUCGCGUGAGGACCCGACCCGGCCGAAGCCCGCUCCGUAACCCGAGGCCCGGCCCGCGCCGCGUGCCUCCGACCCGGAACCCGAGCCGCGUGCACCUGCGAGCCGAGCAGCGCCCGCGUGCGAGCCGCACGUGCGUAGCCGCUGUACCAAGCCGAGCCGCGCCUGUCUGCACCACGAGCCGCGCCUGUCUGCGCCGCGAGCCGAGCCGAUCUUCAACCUCCAAGCCGAGUCGGUCCCUGCCCUUUUUCCAGCCGAGCCGCCAAGCCUAAUUUGGCUCCUCCCAUCCAAUUUUGAUUAUUUUCCUUAAGGGACGUCUUGGACCAAGUAACUGCUGCAGCGUGGGAUUCUCCCUCGGCUUAAAGGGAGUUAGCGCAACCUUGAUUUUGGGGGCCCUACUGCUUGGGAAGCACACCUUCUCUUACUUUUAGGACUCGACAACCAAAUCUCCAAGUAGAGGACGAGGCAAGGGCAAAGGCAAGCUGGCGAGCGACCCGAAGUGACCGUGGCGAGCCAUAGGGACUCCUACUUCCGCUUAUUCUUGUUUUUGACUUUAGUACCUGAGUUUGAGUAUUCUUCAUUAUUUACCAUCUUUUAUGUAGAUAGGGCCCGAGUAGGACUUUAGAACGCAUUUCAUUUUUUGCAUAACUACCUUGUUUGGAUUCUCAUAAAUAAAAUUUCUCAAACCUUAUGCGUUUUACUAAA